rnacentral:rRNA from 1 species
GGUGAACGCUGGCGGCGUGCUUAAGACAUGCAAGUCGAACGCACUCUUACGGGAGUGAGUGGCGCACGGGUGAGUAACGCGUAACUGACCUGCCCAGAAGUCCUGGAUAACCGCUCGAAAGAGCGGCUAAAACGGGAUGUGCUGGCUCGCUGUGGCGAGCCAGUAAAGGCGACGCUUUUGGAUGGGGUUGCGUUUCAUCAGCUAGAUGGUGGGGUAAAGGCCUACCAUGGCGACGACGAAUAGCCGGCCUGAGAGGGUGGCCGGCCACAGGGGCACGGGGACUCGGGCCGCAAUCCUCCGGGAGGCAGCAGUUAGGAAUCUUCCACAAUGGACGAAAGUCUGAGGGAGCGACGCCGCGUGAGGGAUGAAGGUCCUCGGAUCGUAAACCUCUGAAACAGGGACGAAAGGGCUCGAAAGGGCAGAUGACGGUACCUGUGUAAUAGCACCGGUUAACUCCGUGCCAGCCGCCGCCGUAA